UUCCUCUUCCUAAUGUGUGUGGGAUUGGCUAAAGUUGACUCAAAAUAUUUCCCAUGUGCCUACACAUCACACACCAUAGUCUGUUAUGUCACACCAUAACUACACACUAAUACUAAUAAAAAUACUAAUAAAUGUUAGUAAUGCUACUUGCUACCACACGCAAACUCUGCUUGUACAUUUAAAGUGGAUAAGUCAAAGUCCCAGUUGUUAAAGGACGCACCAAAGAUGCUGACUCUGUGGUAAAAAUAUACCUGAAGGUGUGAGUAUGAGGUGGUUAGGUUCUUGAUGAAACUUUUCAGGAAAGGUAACUUCUUAGUAAUCGAUAGAGUUCAACUAGUGGAACGUAAUAAUCGUCUCGCCUUAUUUGGUGCUUUCCCCCUGUGACGUAGUCAUGGGUGAGUUGUAUAAGUACCAACAGUAGUAAGAUUAUCUAGGGAAUUUACCUUAUUCUACUCAAGCUGACACUGCUAGCUCCGGAGCUCUUUGAAAGACAUGAAGAACUUUGGUAUCGAGUGUCUUACACUGUUGAUGGUAGCUGUGAUGGUCUAUGCAGCACCAACCAACCCGUGUGAAGACAAAAGGCUGAAGCUGAAGCAAAUUAGAGAAAAUGCCAACAGGGCAAAAGAUAAUGUAAGUAAACUUUAUGUUUCUCUGUUAGUACGCCAUAUGUUCUUUGUUGAUAUACUGACAUUUUUAUUUAAUUAUCCUUGCAGCUGCCUGACUUAACUGUGCCUAAGAUAGACAAAUGUGUGGUAAGUUGAAAACGUUUCAUAUUUUACUCUUCACGGUGUCCUUUGACCUCCAUAACACACAGCGGUUACCACGCGUUUCUCAUUCAGUCUCAUCUCCAGCAUGCUGGGCACCGGUGCUUAUCACUGUUUUCUCUUUGCAGGAAAAGUUCUUCUGCUUAGCCGACAAGGCGCUGACCAAAACUAUGGAAAAUUAUUCAAAUCAGAAUCUAACAAAACUCGAGCAUUCCCUGCAUGUGUACAGCAAGGAUGAAAACUGUCAUCUGCACACGCAAAGCCAAUUUAAUAUAAAAAAGUUUCUGGAUGAAAUUGUGCGUUGUGUUGACGUCGCCUUGAACAACAAGAGCAUCAUAUGUCCCCAUCAUAUUAAAUGAAGAAUUGUCCUCAAGUUUAUUGCAACUGUAAAUAUAUUUAUGGACUUAUUUAAUGACAUAUUUAUUACUUUUUUCACAUUUUCUAUUUAUAUACAAAUAAAUUAAAACAAAAAAGGUGCACUUGUCAUUGCUUUCAUUUUUACACCUAUUGACGUGUGUGCUUGUGUGUGUUUGUGUGUGUGUUAGUGUAUUUAUUACUCAUUACUGCCAUCAGUGUGUAACGUUUAUGGGAUAAUUAUGAACUUCAGCCAGGUAUGUUCAUGAAUUAGACUUGUGAUCACUGGAUUUAUAGCCUAUCUUAAUCCCUUUAUUUAAAAUUAAAUUAAUGUGCGCAUCAGUCUCAUGCUUAUUACCAAUAUAAAUGAUGAAAUUAUUAAAUGUUUUUUAAAACAUGUCAUUGAUAAAUAAACAAACAGGGCCUCCCUGAGUAGAGCGUAGGCUUCUAUGUCUGCCUGAGAAAGCGGUCUUUUGAUGAUGACCACUUCCCACGCAGGAAAGCAGAAAU
ensembl:lncRNA